rnacentral:tRNA from 1 species
GCUUAGGUAGUACAAACGGUUAACACGCUCGGCUGCUAACCGAAAAGUUGGCGGUUCGAGUCCACCCAAAGGUG